rnacentral:rRNA from 1 species
AUUGAACACUGGCGGCAGGCCUAACACAUGCAAGUCGAACGAGUGGCGGACGGGUGCGUCAUGUCUGGGCAACUGCCUGAUGGAGGGGGCUAACUACUGGAAACGGUAGCUAAUACCGCAUACAAUCGGAUGUUCCCAGAUGGGAUUAGCUCGUAGGUGGGGUAAAGGCUAACCUAGGCGACGAUGCCUAGCUGGUCUGAGAGGAUGACCAUCCACACUGUAACUGAUACACGGGCCAGACUCCGACGGGAGGCAGCAGUGGGGAAUAUUGCACAAUGUGCGCAAGCCUGAUGCAGCCAUGCCGCGUGUAUGAAGAAGGCCUUCGGGUUGUAAAGUACUUGCAGCGGGGAGGCGUUACCCGCAGAAGAAGCACCGGCUAACUCCGUGCAAGCAGCCGCGGUAAUUC